AGCAGCAGCCGAAGCAUCAAGCAGACAAUCCCCUCGCCUUUUACUAGGGGAUUCCGUGAUGCUUCGGCAGCAUAAUGCUGGAGUCGCCGACUACUGUUUUGGUCCCCGAUGGAAUGGGGAC
rnacentral:snRNA from 1 species